GGCUAAAUAUUUCCACAGAACCGAUAGUAAACAAGUACCGCGAGGGAAAGUUGAAAAGCACUCUGAAGAGAGAGUUAAAAGACCGUGAAACCGCUCAGAGUAUAAGCCAAUGGUCAUUCGGAAGGCAGGGUCCGGAUUCCACCCCGGCUGAGCUGAUGCUGUUCAAGGGGCAAGGGUCCAUCGUUUUGUGUCCAGAAAGAAGGCGCUGUCGUGGUAAAAACUAGAACGUGGCAUUGAGUUGAUAGCACACCCGUGAUGAGAAAACUUGCGGGCCCAUAAGAGUGUCAAAAGAUGGAGGCCUCCGCUCUGGUGGAGGCCGAUAUCGUUCGGGCUUGUGCAAGCCGGCGUUUACCGCACACGAACGAGUGGACUACAUACUGCCCACCACAACUCUUUAUGAGGUCAGGCACGCAGGACGUGGCUCGGUUGGUGCUCUGCGCGUUCACCCAGCACAGGGAUCUAGUGUACCGUAAGCAAACACAGCCCGGUAAGCGCGCGCCUAUAGCGCCCGGGUGACCCUGUGCCGGCAGGCACUUCCAUGUCCAUCCAGAGAAGCGUGUUUUUCUUUGAUCCUCUGUGAAGGUUGCUAUUCUGACGCCCCUAAUACCUGCAUUCAUAGUCGAGAUGGCUGUGAGGAGGAGAAACCAGUAGCCUACCCUAUCCCGAUGAAUUCGUCAGCGGAACUGGCAGUUUUUGCGAGGCCGGCUGUGANGANGACGGAUGGCGAAAAGGAUCUCUUUUGGUGGCGGGGUGAUUGGUGUCUUAUUCCGGAGCCAUCGGUCACGUCUCGAAACACGG
rnacentral:rRNA from 1 species